rnacentral:rRNA from 1 species
GAUGAACGCUGACAGAAUGCUUAACACAUGCAAGUCAACUUGAACUUCGGUUUGGGUGGCGGACGGGUGAGUAACGCGUAAAGAACUUGCCUCACAGCUAGGGACAACAUUUGGAAACGAAUGCUAAUACCUGAUAUUAUGAUUAUAUGGCAUCGUAUAAUUAUGAAAGCUAUAUGCGCUGUGAGAGAGCUUUGCGUCCCAUUAGCUAGUUGGAGAGGUAACAGCUCACCAAGGCGAUGAUGGGUAGCCGGCCUGAGAGGGUGAUCGGCCACAAGGGGACUGAGACGCGGCCCUUACUCCUACGGGAGGCAGCAGUGGGGAAUAUUGGACAAUGGACCGAGAGUCUGAUCCAGCAAUUCUGUGUGCACGAUGAAGUUUUUCGGAAUGUAAAGUGCUUUCAGUUGGGAAGAAAAAAAUGACGGUACCAACAGAAGAAGUGACGGCUAAAUACGUG